CCGGAGACACAAUCCGCAGCCCCUGGGUCUGUGCAGUGACCAGCCAGUCUCCUGAGAACUUUCCCCUCCAACACUCGGAAAAAUGAGGAUUUGGCUCCAUUUCGUUUUCAUUGUAGCAGCUCUGGGAGGCGCGCGGCCCCAGGUGCAGCUGGUGGAGUCCGGAGGGGAUGUGAAAAAGCCCGGAGACUCUCUCCGCCUCUCCUGCAAAGCCUCCGGGUUCACCUUCGGUGACUACUCGAUGAGCUGGGUCCGGCAGGCUCCUGGCAAGGGCCUGGACUGGGUGGCACGUAUAAGCUACUUGGCCGGCAGCACUGUGCGUUACGCCGACGCGGUCAAAGGCCGAUUCACCAUCUCCAGAGACAACCCCAACAACCUGCUGUAUCUGCAAAUGACCGGCCUGAAGCCCGAGGACACCGCCCGCUAUUACUGUGCGAGAGACACAGUGAGGCGAAGCCGGGCUGAGCUCAGACAAAAACCUCCCGUUGCGGUCAGCAGGGAAAGUCCCAGCUGGUGAGAGCCUGACACUCCCGGGACUGGAAACUGAAAAGAGGAAACAGCGUGUUCAUGUCAAGGUGCCCUGCUCUGGCCAAAUACAGCUUCAGCCAAGGCACAGGUCCAGGGGCCGGCCCCCUCCUGAGUGAAAAGGGCUGGACCUGGACCUUUCCCUCUGAUUUUUAAUCAAUUC